GUGGGGAAUCUUAGACAAUGGGGGAAACCCUGAUCUAGCCAUGCCGCGUGAUCGAUGAAGGCCUUAGGGUUGUAAAGAUCUUUCGCUGGGGAAGAUAAUGACUGUACCCAGUAAAGAAGCCCCGGCUAACUCCGUGCCAGCAGCCGCGGUAAUACGGAGGGGGCUAGCGUUAUUCGGAAUUACUGGGCGUAAAGCGCACGUAGGCGGACUGGAAAGUUGGGGGUGAAAUCCCGGGGCUCAACCUCGGAACUGCCUUCAAAACUCCCAGUCUUGAGUUCGAGAGAGGUGAGUGGAAUUCCGAGUGUAGAGGUGAAAUUCGUAGAUAUUCGGAGGAACACCAGUGGCGAAGGCGGCUCACUGGCUCGAUACUGACGCUGAGGUGCGAAAGCGUGGGGAGCAAACAGGAUUAGAAACCCUAGUAGUCC
rnacentral:rRNA from 1 species